GGGCAUUUUGACUAGAGACCGGCCCACCAGUACUUAGCCGAAACCCAAAGACUGCUUGGUUUACCUCCUGAACUUUCUACAACACAUGGAGGAAACCUGAAAUUAAGACAGAGAAGACUAGAGGUGAGACAUGAUCAUUACUGAAUAUUAAAAAUAAUAAAUGACAGAUUUAGUGAUAUUUUCAUAAACUAUUUAUUUACCACAUCAAUAAACAGCAUGGCAGGGCAAAAUAUUUUUUCUAACAUGGCAACCUUUAAAAAGUGAAAGGAGACAGAAAGAAAGGUGAGAAAGAAUAAAACUUCCUCACUCAAAACUUACCAUCAAAACUUAAUUUUGAUGGUA